UUGCAACUGAAAAAGAGGUUGCAGGGUGGCCGGAGGCUGGAAAGGGCCUCCCGUGGGUCUGUUCCCACCAAACACUAUUGAAUCCAGAGAAUCAACUAACCUGGAGCACAAGUCCAGUUACGCGACUCUGCAUUCAAGGACUCCGACUUGCUUUCUUGGUGACACAGGGUGAACGUCCUCAGCUGUGGCAAAAAUGGGACCAGCUUUUAUCGGUGACAAAAUGCAGCCCCGGAGAACGAAAUCAUGUUGCUGACCUUGUGCAGAUGAUCAGUGGCAGGACGAGGCCCAGAAAUCCAACACAAAUAAUUAAAGCAACAGUCCUUCAUAAGUAUUUAUUUCAUGCGGACACUGCUGUCUAUUCCAUCACUGAGAUUUUACAGUCAGACCACCUCGCAGGUGCUGCUGUUACCACCGUCUUUCAGAGGAAGAAACGGAUGUGGAGUCGCUUCUGAGCUGGAAAGGGGAGGAGGAGAAAGUGGGACUGUGGCUGCCCUGUCCCCUGGGAGGCCCUUACUGUGUGCCCGGCAUCCGCAGCAGCGUGUCCAGGACGCUGCCCGGUUUCCCCUGCACGCCUUCAGGUCAGGCUCCCUCAAGCUGCUGACGUGCACAAAUGAGAGGUUUGCAGUGACAAGAGAGGAAGAAAAGGCCAUUAUUAACAGAGGCUGCCAAUUUUGUGCAAGGAAUAAAAGCUGAUCACAUUA